rnacentral:lncRNA from 1 species
GUGGAGAUGAGAAUCUGUCUGAUCUGGAUGAAACGACUACUGUUUUCGAUAAUGUUUAUUUCACGAAUUUGAUAGAGAAGAAGGGUCUGUUGCACUCAGACCAACAACUCUACAAUGGUAACUCCACAGAUUCCAUGGUUGAAACCUACAGCAACGACUCUACCACUUUCUUUACCGAUGUGGCCAGCGCCAUGGUUAAAAUGGGAAACUUGAGUCCCCUAACCGGUACUGACGGAGAGAUCAGGACAAACUGCAGGGCAAUAAACGGAUAAAUUUAAAUGUCUUUAAAGUUGUACUUCAGUUAAUAUCUGGGAGUAGCUUAUCACAAAGUGAUUUGAGAUAUAUAUCUUGUUUAUGGCAUUUGUAUUUUGCUCAUCAACUUAAAGGUUCAUCUCAAAUAAAGUUUUUAGUUGGUUUUGGAUCUACUGCAAAAAUUAAAUUUCUUUGCAUGCGACAUACUUUGUGCACCAUAAAUUUGAAUGAUUUAAAGUAUUUUCGUACCCAUUUGAUUACCACUAAAUUAUAGCAAAAUUUCACAAAAGACUUUCAUAGCCAAGCCAAUCAGCAGGCCUUCAGAGGGAUUGGAUGGACAGUUAGCAGUUUGAAUUUUUGAAGCAUCAAAUCCAGACUUUUCUACGCACUUUAACUAAGCCUAUUAAAAGUGUUCUCCCUGGCCCCACCUUAAACCUCAGUCAGCUUGUAUCUGCCUUCUCCAAUAAGGGCUUCACUACCAAGGAAACGGUGGUUCUCUCAGGUGUAAUAUUAGAAAAUUGAUAAAAUAGUACGUUUGUUGUUUUAUUUUUUAUUUUUUAAAAAAAUGAUAUCAAAUUUCAACGGUGGUCCGUAAGGUUUCAUUUCCGUUGUCAAAUGGGCCCUCUAUGUGUAUUUCACCAAUAUCCUUGACUGUUGAUACUAUCCUUCUUUUUUUCCGAACUAAAGGCAUCACCGUUAUUCGAAUAGAGUGGAAAAGAGAAGUCAGCUAGUGAUGACACUUUUCUUCUAUGGUAUCUAAAAGCCAUUCACUUUACAAGUCAAGUAUAAUAUUGUUAGUUUUGUAGAAGAACUUAUCCACGAUAGACGAGUUUAGACCCAAGGAUCUGCCCAAGAUCGGGUGGAGAUGAUAAUCUAUCUCCUCUAGAUAAAACUACUACUGUUUUUUAUUAUGCUUAUUUCAGGGAUUUGAAGGAAAAGAAGGGUCUGUUGCACUCAGACCAGCAACUCUACAAUGAUGGCUCCACAGAUUCCAUAGUCGAAAGCUACAGCAUCAACUCUGCCACUUUCUUUAGGGAUGUGACCAACGCCAUGGUUUUAGAUGGGAAAUCUUAGUCCUUCAACCGGAACUAACGGAGAGAUUAGGACCGACUGCAGGAAAGUCAAUGGAUCCUAGUCAGUUUAUGCCUUUUAUUUCUUUCUCGUUUUAAUAUACUACAAUUAAUAAUUGGAAGUAGCUUGUCACAAAGUAAUUAAUUAAGGAAAUUUGUCUAGUUUAUGGUAUCUAUACUUGUUCGUCAACUUAAAAAUUUAUGUUAAAUAAAGCUUUUAGUCGGUUUUGGAUCUAUUGCAAAAGUUAAAUUUCUGUACCAUCAAUCAUGGGCACCAUAAUUUUGAAUGGUUAACGUUAUUAGAUUACAAGAAAAGGUUUUAAAUCAUUCUAAGCCCAUCAGAAGACCUCUAAAGGGGUAAGAUGGACAAGCAACACUUUGAAUUUGGAAGCCUCGAAUGCAGACUUUCUAUGCAUGCAUGCAUGCAAUAAAUAAACCUAUCUACCAAAGUCGUUGGCUCCCCGGUCUCAAUUUGCCAGCAACAUAAACAAAGGGUGAUGAGUCAUUAUUGAUACUUUUUGACUUAUGGCCCAUAUAAUAAUGAAAGUAUGAAUAAAGUACUUGAUAAUAGUGAUGAUGUGAAAGCUGCCUCUUCCGUCUAUUCAACCCUAGCAAAUAAUGUAGCCCCAAGUCGCUAACAAAACAGUUCGGCCUUAAUUAAUAGGCCGGUCGGCAUUGUUGCAUUAUGCAACAUGCCUUUUUGAGCUUGUAACGAAGAUGUGUUCAUAGAUCUAACUCCUACAGCUUUAAACCAUGUACAAUAAUCGAACAGGUAUCUGUCCUAAAAUUUUAACAACUAUUUAUCAUACAUAACUCCUAAGUUAGUAAUAUAAUUUGUUUUAUAGUUCCAAUCCCUUUCUUUUAUUUUUAAUUUUUGACUAUUUUUUAGAAUAAGAGUGGGGGAUAUUUUUUAUUCUGUUCUCUCUGUUUCAUAAUAAAAAAUUUAAAAAUUCUUCGAAUUUAUUUUCAAUAAUCAUUCUAUUUUAGAGCAAGAUUUUACAAAAUCCUUUUUUGAAUAAAAAUAAUAAUUAAACAUGUCUUUUUUUACUUAAAAACUGUUUCAAGAACAGUUGAAAAGAAGUCAGACUUUUUCUACUUUCCUUUUUAUUUUUUUUGGGUAAAUUAUUCAAUUAGAUAUGACUUUUAAUUUUUUUAUUCAUAAUCUUAAAAAAAUAAAAAGGUGAUACUCGUUUCUUGGGCUGGUACCCACCUAAUUAAUAUGAAUUUUUCUGAGUCAAAAUCAUGUCAGAUGGGCUCAAUUAAAAAUUUAAAACUUCAACCUAACCUAACCCAACCUAUAUAAAAUAUAACAAAAAUCCAAUAUGAUAGCAAGUCACGUCGAUUUAGGAACCAACACAGAAAAGCCCAAAGUUAGGUUUUUGAAAAACGAAAAUCUGUUCUAACUUAUAAGCUUGACCGUAAAUUGUUAACAUUGUACAUGCAAUUUUUUUUUUUAAAUUAGUGUACCUAAAUAGGCGGUUAGAAACGAAACAGUGGUAAUUGUUUUAUAUCAUAUUUCUGAAAAACAAUUUUUGAAAACUCUUUAUCUAAAUUUUAAAAUGUAAAAAUUUGUUUGAAAAACUAAAAUAUUUUAAAUCUAUUUUUAAUAUUUUUAAAAAUAAUUUUUAUAUGUAAUGUUUUAUUUUUAAUAAUUUUAUAUACUUAUAUAAUUAUUUUUAAAAAUAAUUAUAAAAAAUAAGUAAAAAUAAUAAAAAAAUAUUUUUUUGAAAGUAUUUUUUUUUAAGAGUAAAAAACAUAAAAUAGUUUUUUAUUAUCAAAUAUGUUUUUUUAAUUUUUUAUUUAAAAAAAUAAAAAAUAUUUUAAAAAACAGUUAUCAAACAUAUCCAUAACCUUCUUUUUACAAAUUACUUAAUUUUAAGAUUCAUUUCCUUACAAGGAUCAAGAGUUUAUUUCAUGCUAUGAUUUAAAUUCAGUUUUCAUUCUUAAAAAUUUAUAGUAUUAUGUGUCAUUUUUUUUUAAAACAAUUUUUAAAAAAGAGAAUAGUUUUAAACUAGAAGUAGAAAUGAUUUUCAUCUAUUAAAAAAUAAAAUAAAAUGUAAAGAAAUAAAUGAGUUUUGUAAAAAAAUUAAACUUAGGUUAGGUAUAAUUUUGUUUUGCCUCUCAUCUUCUAAUACAUAAUAUUAAAUAAAAAAAUAUUUUUCUUUUCAUAAAAUAAAUUAUAAAAUGUAUAAUAUUUUAUAAAUCAUAUUUACUCUUAUAUAAUUUAAAAUUUUAAAAAUAAGGUGAAACCAGUAUGAAAAUUCUCCAUAUUCACUCUACUCCGCUGUGUUCAUUUUUUUUUUUCUUAAUUUUUUAGGUAUGUAAAUAAAGAGUACAAUCCCUAUUACUCGCAACCGAUAAAAAUAUAUCCACUUAUAAAUCAAGAUACAUUGCAUUCGAGAUAUAGCAAAGGUCCAAUGGGCUUUAAACAAUAACUUAUUUUCUACUUAAAACUCCUUUAUUUUUGUUGGUCCGCAAUAUUGUAAGACUAGUAGUUCAUGAGAAAAAUAAUCAACAAUUGAGACUUAUGUAUACAUGCGCUUGUUUGUAUAAUACAAUAUCAAUAAUAUGUUCCAACUACUACUUUUAUUCGAUUCCCUUAAAUCAUCAGCCACCACAUCAAAAUUUUAACCAGUUGGCUAAAUCCAUUUUGAUUUUAGUAAAAACAAACAACUUUAUUAAUUCAAUGAACGGGGAGGGGAAGUUGUCUACUGCUAGACAGACAAAAUGCUAUAGCAGGUUUUCAAUAAGCUGAUGGCGAAGACGAUUCCACAAGAACUGACAGCAUGUGCCCAUGUUAUCUUCAUUCUUUGGAAGGCAAAGUCUACUUUUGGAGCAGUAGGAGUGAGAAUUUUAGGAAAAGGACAUCGAUGUCAUCCAUAUUAUCAGUUUGUCAUGAUUUGGCUGUCUGGUCAAAAUAAUGGAGCUGGAGGCUACAAAUAUCAACGCAUGUUUUUUUUCAUCUCAAGGCUAUGAUAGAUAUUUCUGUUCUUGGCUGCAUCCGUGUAUCCCACAAAGCUAACAACUAACCAUGUUUUCAGGGGGAUAUUUCUCAGAAAGAAAAUAAAAAAAUAUUAAGUGAGGCAUACUUUUUCAGACUGGCCCAUGGAAACCACAUGGCUGAUCUUGACAAGUACUCAAUACUCAUUAAGGAAUUCAAAGUCCCGAUUGUCAGAAAUAUAGAAUAAUUAUAUUCUAUUUCAUGAUCAAAGAAUAUACAUAAGUGUCUUUAUAUACAAGGCAUAUGUGUGUGGUACAAGUAAAGUGUACUAUACAAGUAACCUAACUGGGCCUAAAGCCCAUAACAUAAUAUACUAACUGGGCCUAAAGCCCAUAACAUAAUAUACUUUAACAGCCCCCCUCAAACUCAAGGUGGAUGUGAGACCAACUUGAGGUUGUCAACUAAAUCACGAGUGCGUCUCUUAGGAAGUGACUUGGUGAAGAUAUCUGCAAGUUGAUCUUUGGAGGAGACGGAGAAAAGCUUAAGAGCACCAUGGACAAGAUGAUAACGGAUAAAAUGACAAUCAAUCUCGAUGUGUUUAGUCCGUUCAUGAAAGACAUCAUUGUGAGCAAUAUGAAUGACACUCUGGUUGUCACAAUAAAGAGGAGUAGCAGAGGAGGUGGACACACCCAAAUCCUUAAGAAGCCAUCUUAGCCAAAUGAGCUCAGAUGUGGUAUCAGCAAGGACACGAUAUUCUGCUUCAGUACUGGAGCGGGCCACAAAAGUUUGUUUCUUACUUCUCCAAGAAAUCAAAGAAGAACCAAGGAGGAAGCAAUAACCUGUAGUGGACCUGCGAUCAGUAGGAUCUCCUGCCCAAUUAGCAUCAGAGAAUGCACGGAGUACAAGAGGAGACUGAGCUAAGUAGAAAAGGCCAUGAAAAAGGGUACCCUUCAGGUAUCGAAUAAUGCGCAGAACAACAGCAUAGUGAGUUGAUCGUGGAGCAGACAAAUACUGGCUCACCUAAUGAACAACAUAGGAGAUGUCUGGACGAGUAACUGUGAGAUAAACUAAGCUGCCAACCAAUCGUCUGUAAAGAGAAGGAUUAGACAAUGGUUUCCCCCCAAGGGUGUCAGAUGCGCAUUAAGUUCAACUAGAGUGUCAACAGUCUUGUUGUCAGUGAGUCCAGCUUGAGACAACAGGUCAGAAGCAUACUUGGCUUGAGUAAUAUAAAGACCAUCUGUGGAAUGAGUAAUUUCAAGACCCAAGAAAUAGCUGAGAUGUCCAAGAUCUUUCAUCUCAAACUGCUGACUGAGAAAAUCCUUGAGUUCUUGAAUGCCACUAAGGUCAUCACCAGUUAUGAUCAUAUCAUCCACAUAUAGAAGAAGCAAAAUAGUGUCUUUAUCAGUACGACGAAGAAAUAAGGCAGAAUCAUAUGGACUAGCAGUGUAACCCAAGUGAAAAAUAGUGGAGCUGAACUUGGCAAACCAAGCUCGUGGGGCUUGUUUAAGAUCAUAAAGUGCAUGUCAAAGAUGACAAACCUUGUUUGAUUCAACAGAGAGACCAAGAGGAGGUUGCAUAUAGACUUCUUCACUCAGAUCCCCAUUAAGGAAGGCAUUUUUAACAUCCAUCUGAAAAAGAUCUCAUUUACGAGCAGUAGCAACAACUAAGAGAGCACGAACAGAUGAGAUAUGAGCAACUGGAGCAAAAGUCUUUUCAUAAUCAAUCUCAUACUCCUGUGUAAAACCUUUGGCAACAAGACUAGCCUUGUAGCGCUCAACGGAUCCAUCAGAGCGAGUCUUGAUCUUAUAGAUCCACUUACAACCAACCACAGACUGUCUAGGAGGGAGAGUAACUAGGUCCCAAGUAUGGUUUUUGGUUAAUGCAUCAAGUUCCUCUUUCAUUGCAAUCUGCCAUAAAGGGUCAGUAGAGACCUCACGAUAGGUUUGAGGCUCGUGAAGUGUAGCAAGGGCAGUGUAACAAUGAUAGUCAAGGAGGUGUGGAGGAAUGGAUCUUACUCGGGUUGAGUGGCGAGAUGGAAUGUCUUGUGGAGGAUCUUCAGGCAAAGUAGGAGCAGGGGACCCAGGCUCAAAGUGGGGUAACUCGUCAUCAAUCUGUUCAUCUGCAACCUGUCUAAGAGAAGCAUCAAAGAUAUCUGGAGAGAAGUCCAAAGGAGGAUCAAAAGUAUUUGUAGAAGGAACAAGAGACUCAUCUGGAAAGAUUUCUAAAACAGAGGAGUUAGUCAAGGAAGAACGAAAGUGAGAGAGUUCAACAAACAAUUGGUGUUCCCAAAAGACAACAUUACGAGAAACACGAAGACGAUGAGAGACAGGAUCAUAACACCUAUACCCCUUUUAAGUUUCGCCAUAACCAAGGAAACAACAGAGUCUAGAUCGAGGCUCAAGUUUGUUGUGCUCAUGAGGCUGAAGAAGAACGAAACAAGCAGAUCCAAAUGAGCGAAGGUAAUAAUAGUUAGGGGGUGACCCAAAGAGACGCUCAUACGGAGUCUGAUUAUGGAUGACAGCACUUGGAAUGCGGUUAAUUGCAUGAACGACAUGAAGACUAGCUUCACCCCAAAAUGGGGCAGAAACUUUGGCAGAAAGAAGUAGAACAUGAACAGUGUCAAGAAUAUGACAAAGUUUUCUUUCGGCUUGACCAUUUUGCUGAGAGGUACCUGGACAAGUUAGAUGAUGUAUAGUGCCAUAGGCAUGUAACAGAGCUUGAAACGCAUAUUGAGUAUAUUCAAGAGCAUUAUCAGAUCAAAAGAUUUUGAUACGUUUGGAGAAUUGAGUUUCAACCAUUUUUGCAAAAUUGCUAUAUAUUGGUAAAAUUUCGGAACGAGAUUUCAUAGGAAAAAUCCAAUUAUAACGAGAAUAAUCAUCAAUAAAAACAACAAAAUAUCGAGAUCCACCAAUACUAGCAACAGGAGAAGGUCCCCAAACAUUAGAAUGAAUUAACUCAAAAAUACUAUUAAAAAUGGAUUCACUGUUAUUAAAAGGCAAAGUUGGCUGUUUUCCUAACUGACAUGAAGUGCAAUCAAAAUUGUCUUUAGACACAGAACCCAACAGACCCCUAGACACUAACUGUUGUACCCAAGAAGAUGGUGCAUGACCAAGACGAGAAUGCCAAAGUGCAAGAAAAGGUAAGGAAGAAACUGCAGCCGUUGCAGCAACAACAGAAACAGGAGCAACAGGUGGAAGAUGAAGAUUGUUCAUGGGAAACAUGCGCCCAACUCUAGGACCGGUCCCAAGCUCCUGCCCCGUCCUUGGAUCCUGCACAAUACACCCAGAAUAGUAAAAAAUAAGGCGAUAACCUAGUUCAACUAAUUGUCCCAUAGAGCACAAAUUAUAGGAUAGGGCAGGUACGUGGAAGACUUCAGGAACAGAAAGAUUAGAGGUUGAAACAAAACCUAGACUAUUUCCAUGCAUGGUGGAACCAUCAGCUAUAUGAAUAUUUAGAGGAUGUGGUGCAGGGUCAAGGUUGGAGAACAGGGAUGAGUGAGGUGUCAUGUGAUUGCAGCAGGCAGAAUCAAAAGGCCAAGUUUGAGACUUACCAGGUAAAAUAGAUAAGGUAGUGGAAAGAGAUGCAUUACCAGCCAUACGAACAGCCUAAGCUAUGAUCUCCUAUAGUUCAGUGGAUGAGAGGUUGAUAGUAUAUCCAGAAGACUAAGACUCAGCUGAGGUGGAAGCCGUUGGCGGAGUAGGCUUAGUAUUAGCAACAACAGCAGUAGAUUUGUUACGACGGUAACAAGUCUCAAUGGUGUGUCCAGGACGCUUGCAAUAGUUGCAGAACUUCUUGUUGGUCUGCUUGCGACGAUUGCUAGAGCCAAAAAAAUCACCUAAUUGCUGAGGUUGCUCUAUGAGUGAAGUAGAUGGAGUAAUAGCCAAAACAUUGAGCUUAUUCUAGGCUUGAAGGGUUGCAAGACGAGCUUCUUUUCUAACCAACUCAUUCACAGCAGUAUCAAGAGAGGGAGCAGGACUGCAAUUUAGCAGCUGACCACGAAUGGGCUCAAAGUCCUUGUGAAGUGACAUCAGAAAUUCAUAGAGGCGAAAUUCAUCUCUGAUGGAAGCAUAUUGCUGAGCAUCUUUUGAGCAUGCCCAAGUUGGAUCAGAAAGGUCAAUUUGGUCCCAAAUGAAGCGAAGCUGAUCAUAAUAGUCAUUGAUGGAUUGCCCCGGUUCUUGCCUGAGUUGAUGCAAUUCAACCACUAACUGAUAUUUCAUGGAUCCAUGAGUAUUGGAAUACCUUUUGGUCAACAUAUCCCAUGCAGAUUUUGCAUCGUCAAAGUUGCCCAAUAGAUUGGAAAUAGAGGGAAUGGAAGUGUUCCGGAUCCAUGUGAGAAUCAUGUGGUUAUGACUAUCCCAUUCAAUCAUGCGACUAAGAAAGACAACAUCUUCUUCACUUGCUCCCUUGACAGGAAUAUUCAUUGCACCAAUACAAUAAUGUCAGAGCAUGCGACUCUUAAGAAAACUGCGCAUAGCUUGAGACCAGGGUAAGUAAUUUUUAUUCCCCUCCAAUACAAUAUUGAUGGGGCGAGGAAGAAAAACAUCAUUUUUAUCCAUUUAGAGACACAAUAUGCAAAAACCGACUGCAAAAAUGAAAUCUACACGAAAAACUGGGUAAGGAGAACCUGGACAGAAAAAGUCAACUAGAAAAGUCAACGGUCAAAGUCAACGAUCAACGGCUGGUCAACGGUCAACAACUGAAGCCAUAGGAUGACGUGGAGAUGACGUUAGCAGAUCAGUGGAUGCUGAUGCAGCUAGGGCUGACGUGGCAAAGAUGAUAACGUCAGCAAACCAGGCCCUGGCGCGUGAGAGCGUGUGAUCAACGUCACAUAAUCUUUGAGCGGCGUGUGGGGGCGCGUGCGGUCUCCGAUGGCGGCGAGGGUUCCACGAAUGUGUAGAUCGGCGCUGGACGAUCUCAGUGGUACCUUCAAAAAUGAAAUCGAAGCAAUAUUCGCAGCGGUGAUGCAAAGAGCAGUGGUUUGUGCAGUGUGAAACUCCUUAACGACGGCAGCUGCAGGUCCGGAACCCAAGGACGACGGUUGGAUGACGUCGGAGGUUCAACGGCAAGAGGCUGCGGCGGCAGUUGUGAUGGCGGAAGAGUUUAGUGAAAGAAAGAAAGUCACACUAAUGAAGACAAGAUUGUUAAGAAAAUGUCAGAGCAGUGGCUUUGAUACCAUGUUAGAAAUAUAGAAUAAUUGUAUUCUAUUUCAUGAUCAAAGAAUAUACAUCAGUGCCUUUAUAUAGGAGGCAUAUGUGUGUGGUACAAGUAAAGUGUACUAUACACGUAACCUAACUGGGCCUAAAGCCCAUAACAUAAUAUACUAACUGGGCCUAAAGCCCAUAACAUAAUAUACUUUAACACCGAUGAAGUAGAUUUCCGUAAUAUCUUCCCUGAAAAUUUCUGGAAAACCAUUCCUCAGAUGAAGCAAUAUGGAAGCCUUUGAUUUGCAAUAUCCACGUAUUCUCCCUCAGAUUGAGGGUAAUGGAGCUUGGAGAGCUAUUGACUUCAAUAAUUAUGUAAAAUGAUACUACUUCUUGGAGAGAAGACUUGGAGCUGCAUUCCACCAAGCAAGUGGGCUCAUUUCCCUAUAAUGAAAAUCGACCUUAUUUGUUUUGUUAUAUCCACCGAUCUUGACUUGAUAAGCAUCCAAGUCAAGUACUCAACAUCAUGUACCUUCGAAAAUAGGAAAAAAACAAAAUGUAAAGGACAUUACAGGGUGGGUCAAACUAUGAUUCCUUUAAUAAUUGUUAAUCAAAUCACACGAAGAAAAAUGAGACAUUUUCAGCGUGGUUUAGUAAUCAAUAGGACACCUACGUUUUCGGAGUAUACCAACACUCAAUAAUCUCGAUUAAUUAAAAUAAAUUAAAAGAAUUAUAAUAAUAAAAUUUAAAAAAAGAAUUUCAGUUAUGACCACAUGCUCUAGAAAACAAAACCCUGUGAAUAUCUUCCUCGAGUUAACAGUAAACUCUCAAGAGUUAUAAUGAAGAGUUCGACUUCCGCAAGCUGAUUGGGUAGCUCAACCCCUAAUAUCUCAAGUGAAGUGUAAUAAUGCUAAUUCAAGUUUCAUAAUCCAACAAUCUCUCACUUGAAUACUAAAAUAUAGGUAAACAAGUAAACAUCUCCCUUAAAUGAUUAAUAGGUAUGAUGCACUUAAACAACCUAUCCUCACCCUUGACCUACUAAUUGCUUUGGUCAACAUGUUAACUAGAUUCUUACUACCUUAUAUAUUUACAAGUGUUAAUACUCCAUUUUCAAGUAAAGACUUAAUGAAGUGCUAUAUGUUUAGUCCUAGAAUGAAAUGUUGAAUUCUUAGCAAAAUUUAUAACACUUUGAUUAUCACUAUCAUGCAAAACAUCCAUCAGUUGUUUGAAUCCUAACUUAGCCAACAAACUCUGCAACUAAAUCAUUUCUUUGCUAGCUUCUAUCAUAGCCACAUACCUUGCUUCAGUUGUAGAUAAAACAACAAUCUCCUGUAAUUGGGAAAUCCAACUGAUAACGAUAAUGCCCAAAGUGAAUACAUACCCUAUAGUGUUCCUUCUGAGAUCUGUCUUGCCAAAAAAAUCAGUGUCCACAUAUCCUUACAAUUUCAACUUACUCGUUCUAAAGCAUAAACACUUUUAUGUAAUACCUCAUAAGUACCUAAGUAUCCAAUUCGAUGUUUCUUAAUGUUGCUUGCCUGAAUUUGAUAUAAAUUUGCUCACAACUCCCACUACAUAGGUAAUGUCUGGUCUUCUACAUACCAUAGCAUACAUCAAACUUCCAAUGGUCGAAGUAUAUGAGACCUUAGCCAUGAAGUCUUUUUCCUCAUUUGUUCAUGGGCAAUGCUCCUUACACAACUUAAAAUGAUUUGCUAAUGGUAUUCUAACUGUCUUAGCAUAACUCAUGUUGAAUCUCUACAAUACCUUACGAAUACACUUAGCAUGAUAUAACCAUAAGGUGCCCAUUUGUUUGUCUUUACUAUUCGUCAUCCCAAGUAUACGUUUUGCUACACUCAAGUCCUUCAUUUCAAACUCAUUGGACAACUGUUGCUUCUUCAACUUGUUGAUUUCAUCUAAAUAUGUGUCAACUACUAACAUGUCAUAAACAUAAAGUAGCAAAAUGAUAUAGUUAGAACCAAUCUUCCUGAAGUAACAACAAUGGUCUACAUUGCACUUGAGAUACCCAUUAUUUUGCAUGAAAUUGUUAAACCUUUUAUAUUACUGUCUCGAAGCUUGUUUUAAACCAUAUAGACUCUUAGUUAAUCUGCAUAUCAAAUUCUCUUUACAUUUCACUACAAAUCCUUUUGACUGUUGCAUAUAUAUUCCCUCUUCCAAAUCACCAUGGAAGAAAACCGUCUUCACAUCUAAAUGUUCAAGAUGUAGACCUUUUGCUACUACAAUACUCAAAACAGAUUGAAUAGUAUUCAAUUUCACAACUGGAGAGAAGAUGUCUAUGUAGUCAAUCAUUUCUUUUUGCUGAAACCUUUUAACCACCGAUCUAACCUUAUAUCUCUUAGAACCAUCAUGGUUAUAUUUGAUUCGAUACACCCAAUUAUUAUGAAAAGCUUUUUUACCCAUUGGUAACUCCACUAGCUUCCAAGUCUGAUUAAAAAUAAGAGAUUUCAUUUCCUUUUUCAUUGCAAGCUCCCCUUGCUAUUAUGUUCCACCUGACAUGCUUCAUCAUAACAUUCAGGGUCACCUCCAUAUUUCAAUAGCAAAUAAUUCAAAUACUUCUUGUUUGGUACAUGUGGCAUGUUGGAUCUCCUUAAUGUAAGAACUACGGCUAGAUCCUGUGGUAUAUGAUCAACAUCAUAUGCAAUGUUUUCUUCAAUUUGAUUAUUCUAACCUGUCUUAUCUACCAUACUACAUUAGGAUAUCAUCUAAGCUCAAAGUAAACAGGUUUGGGUUAUAUCAGUCUAAUGGACUAUGUUGCAUCUCUAUCUUUAUACAAAACUUUCUCAUUGAAUAUAACAUCCUUACUUUUAAUCACUUUCUUAUUUUAUUCAUCCCAAAACUUAUAACCAAAAUCAUCAACACCAUAACCCAAGAACAGGUCUACCACAACACACAAAAUGUACAUGGUCAGAAAGAAAAUCAAUCAUCACAGGGUCUUUCUUGGGGGGUUGAAAAUUCAAUCCGCCUAUCAUGCAAGAAACUGGAUUCUCAACUCCAAACCAACAAAACAAACAAAAACAGCCAACCCACACUCAGCCGUCACUCUUCUCAUUUAAUUUCUUCCUCCAUUUUACUUUUUCAAUGUUAAUCCUACGCUAGUACGUAAAAUGUUGAACUCAAUUAUUUAUUAGUAUCAAGUGAUUAAAGAGGAAAAAAUAUCACCCUCAUACCCAAACUUCAAACUGGACCUGGGUUACUUUUUUUGUCGAUGCUUAGUUGAAGCGUCAAACCCCAACAGACUGGUGAAUUAAAGCUUACUAAGGAAUAUGGUAAACCAUCCUCUAAAUCUUUCAAUUAAUUGAUCCCAAUAAAAAACUAGGCACGUAAUUACUUCCUGAAUUUUUAGCCGUAGGUCAUUUACGAAAACUGUUUUGUAAUGAAUAGAUCUACAGAGAGGAAGACCAAGUCCAAGAGAUGCCCAAUUUCAAGUUCUCUUUCCCAGCAUGCGCUUUAAUUUAACCUACACCGAAACGGCACAUGCAAAAAAAUCCAACAUGGCCAACUAAGGUGGCUUCAACAGUAGACAUUUCUACGUAGACAGAAAAAGAAAAGAGUUCCACGAUUAGCAUAAAUAUGGAGUGCUACUCCACCAAGAGAGAACACCAAAUCGGGCUUAACCAGUUCCAAAUACAAAGGUUCCUUGGUUUUUGUCUCGACACAUCCAAAUUAAGCCAUGGCUUCCCUAUCCUUGUUUUCCUUUUUCUGUAUGUUUUCGUUUCUACUGGGGAUGGCACAUGCACAGCUCUCCCCCAACUUCUAUGCAAGUUCAUGUCCUAGGGCUCUCUCUACCAUUCGAACUGCAGUAAACAAUGCAGUGGCCAAAGAGCGCCGCAUGGGGGCCUCAUUGCUCCGCCUUCAUUUCCAUGAUUGUUUUGUAUUGGCAAGUCCUCCACAUAUAUAGAACUCCUUUUUUCUGGAUAUUCUGUUUUUCAUUACUUGUUCUGGUUGCUUCUGACUAGCUCUGCAACUUAGGUUUGAAAUCCAGAAGUCAACCAGGAUCAUUUGGCACUGGUUGAACUUUAAGAUGUUAAUAAACCUCAAUUAAUCCCUACAUACAUGAGAGGGAGAGGAAAAUAUUAGUAACAUGCAUGCAUACAUAUAGCUGUUUGACAGGAAAAUGCGUACUAAUAACAUCUUCAUGUAUAAAUUCAACAGGGAUGUGAUGCUUCUAUAUUAUUGGAUGACACUGCAAACUUUACUGGAGAGAAGACAGCAGGACCAAAUAAUAACUCUUUGAGAGGAUAUGAUGUGAUCGACACCAUUAAAUCUCAAAUGGAAAGCUUGUGCCCUGGAGUUGUUUCUUGUGCAGAUAUUGUAGCUGUGGCAGCUCGUGACUCUGUUGUUGCUGUAAGAGACUAACGUCCUUCACAACUACCAUAUAUAUAGCCAUUAAUCAUAACCUUGCAGUUUAUAAUGGGGUUCAGAGAUAUAAUAAUCCAUCUUUCCUAUUCUACAAACAUCAUUAUUUUAGACUAUUUCUGGCCAGGUUUCAUUAACCACCAUAGAACCCUCAUCAUGGCCAAACUUUUAAUUAACAUGGGUGCACGAUAAAACAUAGCUCCGUAUACCGGUGUUCUGCUGAACUACGAUAAAAAUCAUCCCAAAAAAUCAUGAUGGUUCUAUUAAAGAUUAAUGGGCUAAGACACUUCAAAUAAUUAGUUAAUUAACUAAAUAUUGUUGUUGAUUGAUUACGGGUUUUUUUCAGUUGGGUGGCCCAACAUGGACUGUGCAAAUGGGCAGAAGAGAUUCAACCACGGCGAGCUUAAGUACUGCUAACGCUGACCUCCCUGCCCCGACCUCAGAUCUUGAUGUUCUUACAUCUCUCUUCUCCAACAAGGGCUUCACUACCCAGGAAAUGGUGGCUCUCUCAGGUAUACUAUGGCAUUUGGUAGCAGAAAUAAGUAGAAAAUUGAUAAAAAUAGUUUUUUUUUUAAAUAUAAGAAAAUGAUAUCGUACUUCAAGAGUGGUUUUCAUUUCUGUUGCCAAAUGGGCCCCAUAUAUACAUCAUUGUAUUUAUUAUGCAAAAUUCCUCAUAAUUUGUUAUAUGUGGUUUUUUUUUUAAUUAUUAUUAUUAUUUUUGCCUUUUAGGAACUCAUACCAUAGGUAAAGCACAAUGCAUAAAAUUUCGGUAUCGAAUUUACAACGAGACCAACGUCGAUGCUGCAUUUGCAAAAUCAAAACAGAAAAUCUGCCCAUGGACAGGCGGGGAUGAGAAUCUGUCUGAUCUGGAUGAAACGACUACUGUUUUCGAUACUGUUUAUUUCAAGGAUUUGAUAGAGAAGAAGGGUCUGUUGCACUCAGACCAACAACUUUACAAUGGUAACUCCACAGAUUCCAUGGUCGAAACCUACAGCACCGACUCUACCACUUUCUUUACCGAUGUGGCCAACGCCAUGGUUAAAAUGGGAAACUUGAGUCCCCUGACCGGCACUGAUGGAGAGAUCAGGACAAACUGCAGG